CUGCUUAGUAAGAGGUUCAGGGCACACUGAGGCCAGAUGCUGCUUGUUUGGUGUUUGUGAACCUUUGAGAGAUUUUUA